AAAAAUAGCUCCCAUGCGACACACCAUUUACGCGGCUAGUUGGCUGUCCGUUAGGCUGAGAUUUGGUUAGGACACUGGGGGUUAUGUGCUCUGACUGGUGGGGUCCACCUAUGGCCACGUAGUCAAGAGUCAACCGUCCACGACUCGACCGGCGACUGUGUGACCGUGCUCGACUCGCCCGUGCUGGACUGGGCGAGCGGCGCCGCCGUAAGCAUCUUCUCCGGCAGUGGUUUCUUCUCCGCGGUGGUGGAGCGCAUUUCUCGGCAGCGGCAGAGCUAUUGCGAGAAUCGGGCUCCAUUGGAUCCGGGGGUUGUUUCUUCUCCGCGGCCCGGUGGUGGAGCGCCUAUCCCUGCAGCGGCUAUUGCGAGAGAUGGAGCGAGGGCUAGAUGAGAUGGAGCGAGGAGACGGGCUGCCCCGAGGAGACAGUGCUUCAAAUCGGUAAUGGCACCCUCUUUUCUUGGCGAUUUAGAAUCGAACUCGAUUUGGUAGUGACUGCCGCCGCUGCCUGCCAUUGACAAAACAGGGGAGGUUCAG